UUCCAUUCUAUAUUAACUUGAUCCGGAUCAAUUAUCUUUCCGACUUUGGGCCAAAUCCCGGUCACAUUUCCAGCCCGUGACAGGGCAAACCAAUAGUGUCACACUUAGAGCCUGUGACGGGCAAACCAACAUUGUCACACUUAANNNNNNNNNNNNNNNNNUCAACAUUGUCACACUUAGAGCCUGUGACGGGCAACCAAUAGUGUCACACUUAGAGCCUGUGACGGGCAAACCAAUAGUGUCACACUUAGAGCCUGUGACGGGCAAACCCAUAAUAACGAGACGGCCCAAAGUCAAUGUUCAUUUAAUCAAUUUCACAUCCACACAUCAAUCCCUUUUAUUUACAACUAUAGACUAAUCCGGUCACGUUUCCAGCCCGUGACGGGGCAACCAAUAUUAACAAGGUUAGUCUAUAGUACCACAUCCAUAAAUCCAAUUAUACAGGUGUAGGUUAUGCACAUGCAUACAUCAUAAUAUCAAUCACAAGCCAACACAAUCAAAAUAUAGUUUAAUAUAACAAUUUUGAUUUGUCUGGAUCAUAGCAUAUUAAUUCAGAUCGUAGCAUAUUAUACAUAUAUAAGUAUAAAAAUAUUUAUAUUAUGCAGGAUUGGC
rnacentral:lncRNA from 1 species